rnacentral:tRNA from 1 species
GCGCGAGUGGUGGAAUUGGCAGACACGCAGGAUUUAGGUUCCUGUGCCUUCGGGCGUGGGGGUUCAAGUCCCCCCUUGCGCACAA